AGCACAGCUCAGAACUGUUUCCAAUGGUGUCUCUAACUUCAUAGUUGCUGCACUGACCAAGUGGGAAUAUGAUGGCCCAGACAGAAACUUGCUAUGGCUGAUUCUGCUUCAUUGGCUGCAAGGAUUUGGCACCUGUUGAUUCUGUGCUUCAUUACGAGGAGGUCAUGGACAGCUGCCAAAUCAACGGACUAAGAAAUUAAUUAAGCAACACUGCACUGAGCCUGUGCAUUUUCCACACGCCCAAUUACUAGUGACCUAAAUCGAGGGCAAAAGCCUGGAGUCUGGAGCUCGUUUAGAGAAGUGAUCCUUCCAUAAAACUGCACAUCUCUAUCUUAUGUGGAACGUAUGUCCUAAAAUAAUGUCAGGUAGGUUCUGAGUGCCUCCUGACUUCCACAGUCAGUUCAUUUUAACUCCAGACCUGGCUAUUAAAAAAAUCAUUUGAAUGCUGGAUGUGGCAUGGGGAAGGAAAACUCUUUUCAUUGUGAUGUGUCUGGAAGGACCGGCUGUCCUAAAGACUGUUGAUUGCUCUGUAAAAGUCAUUUACCUGUGUGCUGGGAUGAUGCUUGAUAUUCAUGGAGAAACUGCAGUAAAUGGGAUUUUGUAAAGAGUAUAUUAUUUGUACAUGUUUUGAAAAUCCAUAAAGCUUAAAAUAAAAUGAUCUUAGUAUUGCGAAUCUAAUUGAGCAUUAAACAGUCCCUUUAU
rnacentral:lncRNA from 7 species